rnacentral:lncRNA from 1 species
AAACUAGACAUCUAAUCUGAAGAAACAUUUGGAGUCGCAGCACAGCACAUUCAAACUUACCAAGCAAGUCCCACUAGGUGGUGCAAAGCAGAGAGCCGCAUCUAAUGCAGGAGGUACUCCUCCACUCAGACAGAAGCUGGACUUCAGUGUAAAACCAAUUCUUAAGUUCCACACAGGCAGUACUGAACUGUGCUUUAAAGACAGAGUCCUGCAUGCAGACUGUGUAAAACUGUGUAACAUGUAGCAACAUUCAGACGGCGCCUUUAAAACAAGUCAUCAAGGAGAGGACCAGAUUCGAUACUGGAUGCUGCCAGGACAGAUUUCCUUGCUGUCGUCAGGAAACUGCGUGGGGAGAGUGCUUUCCAGGCCAUCAGAUGACCCUGGCAGAGUUGCUGCUGGUCCUCUAUUACUUAGAUGCCAUUGCAAUCCAGAAGCGUGCAGAGCAGCCUGGAGUUGUGGAGCACAUGACUGUCACGGAAUGGAUCAGCCGCAGGAGAGAUCAUGGUCACGGUGUGGGUCGAUCUUUACUAUUCCGAGGUGCGCCCAGUCCUGCUUGGAAAGAAGAGAAAAGCACUUUGAGGAUGACUAUGAUGAGGAGUUGGAGGAGAGGUUCUUCAUCUCCUCCACUGGCAAAACCAUCCAUUACACCUUCGAAGACCUGGAGCAGCUGCACAAAAAGCUAAAUUAAAGUGACGAGCCAAACGGCCAGACGGGCAUACGAGACAGCCAAAAAGAACCGGUCUGAUGCCGAAAAGGUCACUGCAGAGAAGCACUACUGAAUGAAGGAGAUUAGCUCAACGGUGGAUGCUUGCCUGAUACUGAAGAGCCUCUGCAGUGAUUCAGAGUAAGUUUUUGUUCAUGUUUUCACUAGGAUUGUCUAGCA